rnacentral:rRNA from 1 species
UACAGAGGUCUCAAGCGUUGUUCGGAUUCAUUGGGCGUAAAGGGUGCGUAGGCGGCGCGGUAAGUCGGGUGUGAAAUCUUGGAGCUUAACUCCGAAACUGCAUUCGAUACUGCCGUGCUUGAGGACUGGAGAGGAGACUGGAAUUUACGGUGUAGCGGUGAAAUGCGUAGAGAUGUGGAGGAACACCAGUGGCGAAGGCGACUUUCUGGCUUAUAACUGACGCUGAGGCGCGAAAGCGUGGGGAGCAAACAGG